rnacentral:lncRNA from 1 species
AUGCGGGAGGACGAUGAGGCCUGGGCCCUGGCAGGCGGGGGAGCCCCGAAGUACGGCUCCCCAUGUGUAACCGGCGCGCCGAAAGCCGCCCCCACGACUGCGCCUGGAAGCCCAGCUCGGAACUCGAGCUCGGGGAGGGAAAGAGGCCACGCCAGCCGCUGGGCUCCCGCUCGGCCGCGGAAGAUCAGCUUCCUGCAGGUUGAGCUUCCGCUUCACGCCCGUGACCGCGUUUUCUUUCUGAGCGAAACCUCCGGCGACCAGAGGCUCCAGGUGAAGAGCCCGGCGGCCGCGCAAGCCUUUCCGGAGGAGCCGCGAACACCCUGGCCGAGUCCGCGCACCUGUCCGCUCCCGGCCCCGCUCCCUCUGGACCGCGCGCUGCGCAGCACACUCGGCCGGAGGAACUCCGGCCACGGGUUCGCGAUCGCCUCUCGCCCGGCGCCCAGCGCCGCUGUGGCCACUGGCCGGGGCGCGGGGCCUCAGUGCGCGCCGGGUGCAGCCUGGGGACCCGGGUUCCUCCCCGCGGGGUUCCAGAGCCCCUCGCGGUCCCGGGGUCCCUCUCCGAGGGGCCCCACAGCCCCUGGCGGUCCCGGGGGUCUCUCCCCGAGGGGGUCCCACAAACCCCUCCCUUUCGGGGCAGCGGAGAGUGGGCGCCGGCCUUACCGAUGUGAGCGGGGCGCACGGGCGGAACGCGCGGCGGCUGUGAGGGAGUCGCGGGGAUCGCGGGGGUCGCGGGGGCGAGGGCGCCGCUACGACCUGAGUCCAGAGAGCGCGGCGCGCGGGGCGCUCGGGCCUUCGACACCUGUUGGACCGGCGGCGCCUUUUAACCGCGCCCCGCACCCCGCCUCCUCCCGGGAGCUGUUGAGAAAGUCCGGAGGGGGCGGCUCCUCGGCGUCCGGCCGCCCCCAGCGCCGAGGGGCGGGGCGCGCCGCCGGGGUCCGCGGCGCUUCCCCCGGCCCGAGCGCGGUGCUGGCUCCAGGGUAAAAUGUACCUGCUGCUGUAGAUAAGUCAUUUUACUCCCAGGGUGACAAGAGAGUCCCUGUGGCCUCAGGGGAAGCAGUGUCACAGAAGAAGAGGGCCCCAGGCCCUGAGCUCGGCCGCCUGCUCUCCUGGGCCUCCUCCGAGCUUGGCUCCCAGAUGCUGAAGACCCCUCUCAGGCUGGGAGUGGACUGCCUCCAUCAGACUUGUUUCUCCAGGGCUCCUCUCUGGUCUGAGGAUGUAGGUUCCAGGGGUGGAGGAGAAGCAGCAACACCAUUUGAUUGAAUCUUUUACGAACUUAAUAAAAUUAUUUGUCUAAAAAAAGGACCCACGUAUAAUGCUCUGGUGUUCAGCUUACUCAGGAGUCAGGGGUCAGCUGUUUCAGUGGAUCACGUAUUUAAUGUCAAAAGUGUGGGUGGGACUACUGUGCCGUGGGAAAUAGGAGAGAUAAAUAUACAGCCUUUUGUUGUUUCUUCAUGGCCUUUGAUCCGUGGUGGGGGCACUUGGACCCCCUCUCCUUAGUGAUGCUCCAUCUGUUCAGUGAGUGGUAGGUGGAGAUGCUGUGGGUCAGCCUGGAGGAUCUGAGCAUCAUUAUCUCAAUCACCGUCUGGUGGGAAACACCCAUCUUUCCUCACAGGCUCCAUGACAUUGCACACGAGGUUACUAGGUUGCUAGGCUUUGGAACAACAUAGUCCCUGCCUACAGUUUACCAAAGGAAAAGGUAGACUGUUGCAGAGGUAACGGAUCUGAACAACUAACUAGGUUGUGUGACUGACAUAUAGAACACAGAGACACAAAGAAAGGACUCCCUGGGUAUAAUCCAGUGCGAACGGGUGAGCUACUGACACGCGGCUGGAUUUCCUGAACUGUGCUCAAUGCUUUAGGUUUACUUCAUCACAUAACUCCAAGAGGGUAUUUCUAGUCCAGCCCAGCACCUGGCUUGCAGGAGAAGCUAGAGAAAUUAAGAGUCCCCCUGGGUUUAAAGGGAUUCGAUUUGAUAAAGGAAGGAGUAAGUGUUGGGGAAGAGACAGCUGUGGGAGACAUCUGCCUCCAUCCUUGAGGGGAGAUGUGGUUCAGACAUCUACUGUGGUUGAAACUUCGGCCCCAGGCUCACCUGCCACCAGGCCCCUCCCCGCCGGCGCGCCCCGCCCCGGAGCCCCCCAGCCCCCCGACCCAGGGCAAACUGGGACGACGGGCUGUCACCGCAUGACGGACUUGGCUCCUGACCUCCUGCCUGUGUCGGGGAAGAUAAGGAGAACCCUUUGAAAGGGAGGAGAAAGCAGAUAGUGGUCAGAGAACAAAGCAAAGGAGCUGGCAGGAAAGGGCGGCUGAGGUCUGGUUCCGAGGAAUGAAGAAGGACGUCAGGUCCCCAAGAGCGCUUCUCAGCAGCGUUAGUGCAGUUUCAUCUGUGCAGAAGUGAGGGCCCGGGCGCCCGCAGGGUGUGUGCUGAGUGACCACACGGGACGCCCUCCCAGGGCAGAGACAGGACAGCCAAGACACUCCCCACAAGUGGGACUGGCUGCUGAAGCCGCUGGGAGGACAGACUCAUGUUCUGUCCAUGGGGCUGCAAAGAGUCAGGCCCUCGGGUGGGUGCAGGUUUUAUCAUCCUGCCAUGAGCAUGGCAUUUCCAGCGUGCCAGGGUCUCAGAGGUAUGGGAUGCAACUGUUUUUGAAAUCGUUCCUGCCUGAAAUUCCGCAUGUCUGUGAGUCUAGCAUGAGGCUCCUUGUGCAGGGGAGGUGGGAAUGCAGGACCCCCCACCCUAGGCUGGCUGAACUUGACCCUGGAGUGACCCUGGGACAGGUGCUAUGAAUGACACUGAGAUCUGACUGCUCUGUGGGAAGGUGGAACCAGGCUGGCCGAAUAAAAACCAGCUCAAGAGCUUGUUAAACAUACAGAUUCCUGGGCUGUGGGGCCAGAGAGGCUGUCCCAGUAGAUGUGGGAACCGUGGUCUGUGAUCCACUUUAGUUUGUCCUCAUGGUUUUGUGACUGAACUCGGCACUGUCUUGUCAGAAGUGCUUCAGAGAAACUCGGAUCCUGACCCUACGAUAUCUACUCUGCCUGAGCGGUGUCUGCCUCCUGUUUGGAUCGGAACCAUGGCAUCCGGGGCGAAGGCACGAUGGGAUAAAGCCCCAGACCCCAGCGUCUGGUGAGGAGGAGCCUGGCAUGUGGCCAGGAUCAUCUCUGUGGUGUGAGGACUGAACACAGACGUUGGCUCCUGACGACUGCUGGGUGCCCCUGCCCCCGACCCCCAGAACAGAAUCCAGGUCCUUUCGGGGCUGAAGUUCAUCCAGAGAAAACCAAUUCCCUUGUUGACUUAGGCCUUCCUCUUUCUGAACAUCAACACUGUCUCCAGUUGUAUUCAUAUGUUUUGGGUAGAAACUAAUCUCUUAGCUAAUGAGGUGAGUAAGGGUAACCGCAUACAAAGAAACCUCACAGCUGAGCGCUAACUACGUUUUAAACCACCUUAACCCCGAAUCCAAGUAUGAUAGCAGAAAAGCUAGAAAUACAUUAUUUUCGUGUCUGUCUAAUAAAUCACACCCAGAAAUGAUUUAGGGUAACAAGAAGCUUCACAUUUCUGAGGUUGAUUAAUGAUGGAGUCUCUGAGGUCUGCAGUGUCAUCUUUACAAAGACUCUUGGCUUUGGUUUCACUGUUACUUUAGUUCCUCAUGGUGGAGAGUUUCCCGUUGUGCUCUGACAUCUGAAUGGCUCCAAGGCCAUUCUGUCACUUCCCCGAUGUCCCCUCUGACAGUGACCUGAAAAGGCCUUGGGCGGCCGUGUCCGCAGAUAGGUGGCCUGGGUGCUGAGGCAGCCUCGGCUGGGAGGUCUUCUCUGGGACCUCGGUCCCCCUCAGGAGGGCGGGGGGCGAGAGGGUUGUGAGCAAGACCCCAGCAGGUUGCACACACACCCCCACCAGUGCUCCUGCUUGAUGCUAGUGCUCGAGCUUGGUACUCAGUGCUUGUGAUCAUUGCUUGGUGCUUGGUGCUCAUGCUCAGUGCUCGGUGCCCAGUGCCAGUGCUUGUGGUGUGAAGGACUGUGUGUUGGGGGCACAGGGAGCAGGAUUGGCUCUGCCCUGCACGGAGCCCCCACCCUAGCGGAGAAGCAAGGACCCUGGAGCACGAAGCCCACAGUGACCUUGCGGAGGGGGGCAUCCUGGGAAGAAGACUGCACUAGUGGAGGAGGAUAGAUGGGAGGAGGGAGCUGGUGUGAUGCCUGGGAGGUGAGGGGUGGAGGGUGAAGGGUGGGGAGUGGAGGGUGAGGGGG